ACCUGCCCAGUCGUGGGGGAUAACUAGCCGAAAGGUUAGCUAAUACCGCAUACGACCGAGAGGUGAAAGCGGGGGACCGCAAGGCCUCGCGCGAUUGGAUGAGCCGACGUCGGAUUAGCUAGUUGGUGGGGUAAAGGCCCACCAAGACGACGAUCCGUAGCUGGUCUGAGAGGAUGAUCAGCCACACUGGAACUGAGACACGGUCCAGACUCCUACGGGAGGCAGCAGUGGGGAAUAUUGGACAAUGGGCGCAAGCCUGAUCCAGCAAUGCCGCGUGUGUGAAGAAGGCCUUCGGGUUGUAAAGCACUUUUAUCAGGAACGAAAAGCGUUGGAUUAAUACUCUGACGUGCUGACGGUACCUGAGGAAUAAGCACCGGCUAACUUCGUG
rnacentral:rRNA from 1 species